AAACAUUGUCAAAAAAGGAUGUAUGUGUUUAGAAAAUCCUGCAAUCUUGUUUUUUUUUUUUUUUUCCCCUUU
rnacentral:ribozyme from 1 species